rnacentral:lncRNA from 1 species
CUUUGGGAUUUUUUUUUCUAAAAUGGCUACUUUUGCUCUUACAAAUUUUACAAAUCAUUUCAAAAUAAAAUUAUUUUCUUCUCCUGAUCCGUUGAUUUCUUAAGUAUAUGCUUGAUCUGACCAUUGGGAAAUCCAGCAUUACCCCGUAGCCUGAUUGCCCAAGGCCAUAUUCUUUAUCAUAGAAUUAAGAACUCAUGAUGAUCUAAUUUCUGCCUACCUCUCCACCACCACCUCCUACUACUCCAAUCCCCAUGAUUUGUGCCUCAGGCACCUAUGUCCUUGCAGACUCUACAGUGGGAACUAAGGUCUUUGUUCCUGGGGAAUGCUGGAGUUGUGCAGCGUGGUAACCCUGUUUUGACUAUAUUUACCUUCAUUGAAGUUACUCCUAGUCCUAUCCCCUAGACACACACACACACACACACACACACACACACACACACACACACACACUAUGCAAGUUCAAGUCUGUGACUUCUUUCAUGCUUCCACAUUACAUGGAAUGCUCCCCCUACCCCAUCUCUCAGACCUAUUCGCCAAGUUAAUUCCUACUACUCUUUGAACCUCAACUCAGACACCCUCUUCUCCAGGCAGCCCCUCCCGAGUGCUCUACUCCUUUACUCAUCACCCCUGCGGGUCUUCAGCAACAUAUUCCAUAUUGGUCUACAAUCACCUUUUGCUAUUUCUCUUCACCGCUAGACUGUAGGAGUGGUAAGGGCAAAGAUUAGUUCUUCUUCAUCUUCAGUCUCUUUAGUUUGAUGGAAUCAAUUAUUUCAAGUUCUUUGCAACAUUGCCUCCUGAAAGUUAUAAUACAGGAGGCUAAAGUCAUUCCUCAAAAAUAUAUGAAAUUGUCCAAAAGCCCUCAGCAUUCUUCCAUCCUUCCUCCUCAAUACAGCUGUCUCACUGCCAAGCCCUGGGUACUUACACACCAGAUUUUCCCAAGAUGUUGUCCAACAGGAAACAUCUUCCUGGAUUUUGCCAUGCCUAGCUGUGUUUCCACCUUGGAAGUGAGUGAAGAAGGUUAUGGGAAAAUUCAUUUCCAGAAGAUAAAUCAGGAGAAAGGAUCCUGAGAAGAUUUGGGAGGAAAUGAACUUUUUUUGUUUGUUUGUUUUCACAAACAAAGACACGUUGUGAAUUCCGGGCAGGAUAUCGUUUCUGCCAGAUAAUUUUUGGAAGAGGCAAGAAUGCUAAGCCAGAGUUUCUCUUGGAAAGAUAACAGACCCUGGACGAUCUCUGUUGGGUAAGUUUCAGUAAGUAUGACAAAUCAAAUACUGCUUUUGCUAUUAAGUUCCAAUGACUGAGUGGGAAAGGACUGAUAAAGCAAUAAUUUUUUUUUUUUACAUGUUGCCUUCCUUUUCCCUUGAUUAGUGAAAAUUUUUUGGCUACCUUCUGUGGUCUUUGCUAUCAACAUAGCUGAGCAAUUAUUUUUUAAAAUUUCACCAAAACCUAUUUGUUAACAAUGUUUGCGUGUAGUAUGUUGCCUUAGCAACAUGCCUUUAGCAUGUUGCCUUAUUGUAUUUGGAAUAUUAAUAGCAUAGCUAUCAUUCUGGAGGUGCUCUGUGCAUAAAUCUUCCAAAUUGCACUUUUAAAUUAACAAAACACUGAAGCUUAGAGAGACUAAGUAAAAUGCUCAAGUCACAGAGUUAGUGAAGAGCGGAACUGGCAAACUCAGGUCUACCCCAGUCCAAAAGCCAUAUUCUACUCACCAGAAUGUGUCAGAGCUCACUGUGUGUGUCCACACACAAGCCCAUGCACAUUCCAUACCACUCACCAAACAAUAAAAACAUCUGCUGGUAAAGAAAGGUGUGCA